rnacentral:rRNA from 1 species
GACGAACGCUGGCGGCGUGCUUAACACAUGCAAGUCGAACGGAAAGGCCCUGCUUGCAGGGUACUCGAGUGGCGAACGGGUGAGUAACACGUGGGUGAUCUGCCCUGCACUUCGGGAUAAGCCUGGGAAACUGGGUCUAAUACCGGAUAGGAGCCAUUUUUAGUGUGAUGGUUGGAAAGUUUUUUCGGUGUAGGAUGAGCUCGCGGCCUAUCAGCUUGUUGGUGGGGUAAUGGCCUACCAAGGCGGCGACGGGUAGCCGGCCUGCGAGGGUGGACGGCCACAUUGGGACUGAGAGACGGCACAGACACCUACGGGAGGCAGCAGUGGGGAAUAUUGCAGAAUGGGCGCAAGCCUGAUGCAGCGACGCCGCGUGGGGGAUGACGGCCUUCGGGUUGUAAACUCCUUUCGCUAGGGACGAAGCUUUUUGUGACGGUACCUAGAUAAGAAGCACCGGCUAACUACGUG